rnacentral:rRNA from 1 species
AUUGAACGCUGGCGGCAUGCCUUACACAUGCAAGUCGAACGGUAACAGGUUAAGCUGACGAGUGGCGAACGGGUGAGUAAUGUAUCGGAACGUGCCCAGUCGUGGGGGAUAACUGCUCGAAAGAGCAGCUAAUACCGCAUACGACCUGAGGGGGAAAGCGGGGGAUCGCAAGACCUCGCGCGAUUGGAGCGGCCGGUAUCAGAUUAGGUAGUUGGUGAGGUAAAGGCUCACCAAGCCGACGAUCUGUAGCUGGUCUGAGAGGACGACCAGCCACACUGGGACUGAGACACGGCCCAGACUCCUACGGGAGGCAGCAGUGGGGAAUUUUGGACAAUGGGCGCAAGCCUGAUCCAGCCAUGCCGCGUGCGGGAAGAAGGCCUUCGGGUUGUAGACCGCUUUUGUCAGGGAAGAAAAGGUUCUGGCUAAUACCUGGGACUCAUGACGGUACCUGAAGAAUAAGCACCGGCUAACUACGUG